rnacentral:rRNA from 1 species
GACGAACGCUGGCGGCGUGCUUAACACAUGCAAGUCGAACGGUGAACUCCGCUUGCGGGGGGUUCAGCGGCGAACGGGUGCGUAACACGUGGGCAACCUGCCCCCACCUAUGGGAUAACUCUAAGAAAUUGGGGCUAAUACCGGUUAUGACCGCUGUCCGCAUGGUCAGGUGGCGGUAAGAUUAAGCGGCUGGGGCUGGGCGUGCGGCCUAUUCGCUAGUUGGUGGGGUAGUGGCUUACCAAGGCGACGACGGGUAGCCGGCCUGAGAGGGUGGCCGGCAACACUGGGACUGAGAGACGGCCCAGACUGCUACGGGAGGCAGCAGUGGGGAGUAUUGCGGAGUGGGCGAGAGCCUGAGGCAGCGACGCCGCGUGGGUGAUGACGGCCUUCGGGUUGUAAACCUCUUUCAGCAGGGACGAAGCGAAAGUGACGGUACCUGCAGAAGAAGCACCGGCCAACUACGUG